UACGUAGGGGGCAAGCGUUUGUCCGGAUUUAUUGGGCGUAAAGAGCGUGUAGGCGGCUUGGUAGGUCCGCUGUGAAAACUCGAGGCUCAACCUCGAGAUGUCGGCGGAAACCACUUGGCUAGAGUCCGGAAGAGGAGAGUGGAAUUCCUGGUGUAGCGGUGAAAUGCGCAGAUAUCAGGAGGAACACCGGUGGUGUAGGCGGCCUGCUGGACCAUAACUGACGCUGAGGCACGAAAGCGUGGGGAGCAAACAGG
rnacentral:rRNA from 1 species